UGAGGGAGAGAGAGAGACGACAGAAGUUCCAGCAGCGAGGGACAACAAGAAAACGAGGAUCAUUCCCCGCCACAUUCAGCGCAGAGUAUUCUGGAAUUGACUGGAAACGCAGCGAGGACGACGGUGUGGUUCCGAACGGAGCGAUAGAGAUGUGCCGAACAGCGGCGGACCGUAGCAGUGGCUGUUGCGGCUGCUCAUGACGGACAGUAGCUAUGAUGACGGAGAAUUACACGAGGCAGCGGCGCAAAUUGUGUGAGAGAGGUUGAGCGUGACGGGUGUGGUGGGUGUUGAGCAAGACUGUUGAAGAAAUCUAAGUAUUUAGAAUGUGUCAUGUCUUCACACGUGGCAUAUUCAUUCUCUCAAAUGCUUCCGCUAAGUAGUUGUCCUUCUUUGAGUCCUUGUAUCGCUGAGAUAAUAUCCAUUUUUGAGUUGUUGAUUGUUGAGAUACUCUGAUUUUAUUGGAGCUAUUCCCUUUUGUUUCGAGCAAUGGUC